rnacentral:rRNA from 1 species
UACAGAGGGUGCAAGCGUUAAUCGGAUUUACUGGGCGUAAAGGGCGCGUAGGUGGUAAGGCAAGUAAGAUGUGAAAGCCCUGGGCUUAACCUGGGAAGUGCAUCUUAAACUGCCUAACUAGAGUAUGGUAGAGGGUAGCGGAAUUUCCGGUGUAGCGGUGAAAUGCGUAGAGAUCGGAAGGAACGCCAGUGGUGAAGACGGCUACCUGGACCAAUACUGACACUGAGGCGCGAAAGCGUGGGGAU